UUAAAAACAAUGAAGAAGAAGAGUACGUUUGAGCUUUGAUGUUUAGAGAGUCUGUGAUUGGUGCAAACAGACCAUCAUACAAACGGAAUGGGCUUCUGAGUUAGCUUUAUGAACAAUAAUUUAUCGUUCAGCCAUUUUUGACAAUGACUCACUUGUAGCUGAAUGUAGAGAUAGCCCCAUAAUUUUUUCAAGCAAGCAUGAAAAAAUUUAGAGGCAUAGUAGUAAAGCUCGGCAUACUUCACGUUACGAAGGUUAAGUGGCUCAGGUUUCUGGGCAAGCUGGGUGGUACCGCGGAUUCCGAACAUCAUUCGUCCCUACU
rnacentral:ncRNA from 1 species